rnacentral:rRNA from 1 species
AUUGAACGCUGGCGGCAUGCCUUACACAUGCAAGUCGAACGGCAGCACGGGUGCUUGCACCUGGUGGCGAGUGGCGAACGGGUGAGUAAUACAUCGGAACAUGUCCUGUAGUGGGGGAGAGCCCGGCGAAAGCCGGAUUAAUACCGCAGACGAUCUACGGAGGAAAGAGGGGGACCUGCGGGCCUCGCGCAAUAGGGGUGGCCGAUGGCUGAUUAGCUAGUUGGUGGGGUAAAGGCCUACCAAGGCGACGAUCAGCAGCUGGUCUGAGAGGACGACCAGCCACACUGGGACUGGGCCACGGCCCAGACUCCUACGGGAGGCAGCAGUGGGGAAUUUUGGACAAUGGGCGAAAGCCUGAUCCAGCAAUGCCGCGUGUGGGAAGAAGGCCUUCGGGUUGUAAAGCACUUUUGUCCGGAAAGAAAUCCUUGGCUCUAAUACAGUCGGGGGAUGACGGUACCGGAAGAAUAAGCACCGGCUAACUACGUG